UGAUCAUGGCUCAGAUUGAACGCUGGCGGCAGGCCUAACACAUGCAAGUCGAGCGGAUGACGGGAGCUUGCUCCUUGAUUCAGCGGCGGACGGGUGAGUAAUGCCUAGGAAUCUGCCUGGUAGUGGGGGACAACGUUUCGAAAGGAACGCUAAUACCGCAUACGUCCUACGGGAGAAAGCAGGGGACCUUCGGGCCUUGCGCUAUCAGAUGAGCCUAGGUCGGAUUAGCUAGUUGGUGGGGUAAUGGCUCACCAAGGCGACGAUCCGUAACUGGUCUGAGAGGAUGAUCAGUCACACUGGAACUGAGACACGGUCCAGACUCCUACGGGAGGCAGCAGUGGGGAAUAUUGGACAAUGGGCGAAAGCCUGAUCCAGCCAUGCCGCGUGUGUGAAGAAGGUCUUCGGAUUGUAAAGCACUUUAAGUUGGGAGGAAGGGCAGUAAGCUAAUACCUUGCUGUUUUGACGUUACCGACAGAAUAAGCACCGGCUAACUCUGUGCCAGCAGCCGCGGUAAUACAGAGGGUGCAAGCGUUAAUCGGAAUUACUGGGCGUAAAGCGCGCGUAGGUGGUUUGUUAAGUUGGAUGUGAAAGCCCCGGGCUCAACCUGGGAACUGCAUCCAAAACUGGCAAGCUAGAGUACGGUAGAGGGUGGUGGAAUUUCCUGUGUAGCGGUGAAAUGCGUAGA
rnacentral:rRNA from 1 species